GAACGCUGGCGGCAUGCCUUACACAUGCAAGUCGAACGGCAGCACGGGAGCAAUCCUGGUGGCGAGUGGCGAACGGGUGAGUAAUGUAUCGGAACGUACCUUUCAGUGGGGGAUAACGUAGCGAAAGUUACGCUAAUACCGCAUAUUCUGUGUGCAGGAAAGCAGGGGAUCGCAAGACCUUGCGCUGAUUGAGCGGCCGAUAUCAGAUUAGCUAGUUGGUGAGGUAAAGGCUCACCAAGGCGACGAUCUGUAGCGGGUCUGAGAGGAUGAUCCGCCACACUGGAACUGAGACACGGUCCAGACUCCUACGGGAGGCAGCAGUGGAGAAUUUUGGACAAUGGGGGCAACCCUGAUCCAGCCAUGCCGCGUGAGUGAAGAAGGCCUUCGGGUUGUAAAGCUCUUUCGGCCGGGAAGAAAUCGCAUGGGUUAAUACCCUGUGCGGAUGACGGUACCAGCAUAAGAAGCACCGGCUAACUACGUG
rnacentral:rRNA from 1 species